UGGAUUUCAUUUUUCCCCACCAGCUUGCCUAGAGCAGUGUUGGGCAAUGACAGAGGCAAUUGAUGGAAAGAGAAUAUGAGGGAGGAGAAAGAAAUCCAUCAGCAACACGUGUGAAAUGUAACGUUCAGUGACAUGAAAUAACAACCCAAAGCAGCCCACACAGAGGGGAGGACGUAGGUGGCGGGAAGUCACAUGUGACAUAGAUAUAAGGACAGACACAGCCCCCUGCGAGAGGACUGAAGCCAAUGUAACCCUGGAAUGCAGCAGGAAUAUUCAGACAGGACAGAAGCCGCAUGGAAAAACCAAGUCUUUGUUUACUUAGUGCUAUAAACUAUAUUUUGUCCUGUAUUUUCUAAUGGAUUUGGAGGUAUGGGAGAAGGUACAGAGAAGAUUGUCAUGAGAGAUUUCGAUUUUUUACAUUGCAAAAGUUUUACAUUAUUUAGGAAAAGUCCCAAGAUCUGUUUUAACGGUGAAGAAAUGGUGGAGUGACUACUUAACAACAGUAAGAAAAUAAAACGCGUGCAGAAACUGUUUCUGCCUAGAUAUUUCCACACAGACACAAGAAUGGACGAGAGGAAAGAUGCUUAGAUUUACUGAGAAAUGAAGGGGUCUGGGGCGUGAGCACAUGUCUACACCACUCUGGAGCAUGGCCGCUCAGGGGAUGUCCCCAUCAGUGGUGUCCCCUUUAGGCGAGGCCACCAGGCUUGUGUAUCAGCACGGCCAGGCACCUGGGGGGCAGCGGCUCCUAACAUUCCGUGCACCUGCACAUAAUUCCGUUAUGACGACUGCAGACAGUUACCUGGCUCGCUCAGCUCACUGCCUCACUUUGGUGGGAGUCUGAGCUGCAGGCAGUGCCUUAGGCGCUGAGCUCUGGCAUCUGGAACCCGAUCCACUGCAAAGCGAAGGACAGUCGAGGUCUGUGGGGUGUGGAUCACGUUUUCCCAACCAUGAGUUAAGAAGCACAGUGUUGGUCCUCCAUCACUCCGGAUGAAACCUGUUUGAUUUCAUUUGUUCUUCACCCCGUCACGUGUUUGGGUUUCUUCCCCCCAGUCCCUGGCUGUGCCUCUUCUGCGACGGCCGGCAGCAUGGCAGGGUCUCUCAGUCCUCUGUCCAGGCAGGGGGCGGAGAUGGACGUCUGUCCGCGAGAAGAACAGGGAACUGCGCUCCCAGCUGGCAGAGAGCAAGCAGCAGCUUCGAGACCUCAGGGAGAAACUGAGUAUUUCAGAAUCGACGGCCUUCUCCCUCACCAACCGGCUGCAGAACUAUAGAAGGCAAAGGGAGCAUUUUAACCUCAUUUUUCUGAGGAUGGAGAAACUGAGGCACAAAGAGUUUGACCACGAUUCCAGAUACUGCAAGAGCACUUUUCAACAGUCUCCCUCGGGGCCAGUCUUUCACAGUUCAAAGACCUCUUGUUCCUGUCCUACCUCCUGGCUUCCUGUUUCAUCUUUGGACCAUAUAAGAGACAUAAUUGUGAGAGUUUACAUAUUAAGUUUUAUUAUUGUUAAAUUUGUUUACUUAGAAGAAUAAAUAUCUAUGUAUUUAUA